rnacentral:rRNA from 1 species
UACGUAGGCAGCGAGCGUUGUUCGGAAUUACUGGGCGUAAAGAGUGUGUAGGCGGUGCUCUAAGUUCGGUGUGAAAUCUCCCGGCUUAACUGGGAGGGUGCGCCGGAAACUGGAGUGCUCGAACGUGGGAGAGGAAAGCGGAAUUCCCGGUGUAGCGGUGAAAUGCGUAGAUAUUGGGAAGAACACCGGUGGCGCAAGCGGCUUGCUGGGCUGUAACUGACACUGAGGAACGAAAGCUAGGGGAGCAAAUGGG